UUUUGUUUUUUUUUAUUACUAUAAUGUCUGUACUUUAAAAAACUGAUUAAUGGGGCACUAUAGGGUCAGGAACACAAACAUGUAUUCCUGAUCCUACAGGGUUAAAACCACCAUCUAAGCAUCUAAACCCCCUGCCCACACCUUGCCCUCCUAAAUAUAGUAAAAUCUUACUUGUAUUCCAGUCUGCUGAUGCUGAUUCUGAUGCCCCUGAUCUGCCUGCGUGACUGUCAUUAUCAGUAGUGAUUAUCUGAGCCAAUCACAAUGCUUUCUGAGUUGGCAAAAUAGCGGAGUUGGAGAAUUUUUCAAAUUGAGCAGGCAACAGCAAUAUAUUGUUGGGUGGUUGACGUUACAGGGACCAAGAGUUAGUUAAAUGUGUCUUACCAAACGAUUUUACAUUUGUAGUUUUUUUUCCCUAAGGAAGCAACUCACCACUGUGAAUAUAAUUUUCUAAGAAACUAAGACUGGCAAGAUUAUAUUCCC